rnacentral:tRNA from 1 species
GCCUAGUUAGCUUAGUUGGUAGUGCGUCUGCCUUGUAAGCGCUAGGCCGCGGGUUCGAUUCUCGCCCGGGGCA